GACGAACGCUGGCGGCGUGCUUAACACAUGCGAGUCGAACGAAGAGCGAUGGAAGCUUGCUUCUAUCAAUCUUAGUGGCGAACGGGUGAGUAACGCGUAAUCAACCCGCCCUUCAGAGGGGGACAACAGUUGGAAACGACUGCUAAUACCGCAUACGAUCUAAUCUCGGCAUCGAGGAUAGAUGAAAGGUGGCCUCUACGUGUAAGUUAUCACUGAAGGAGGGGAUUGCGUCUGAUUAGCUAGUUGGAGGGGUAACGGCCCACCAAGGCGAUGAUCAGUAGCCGGUCUGAGAGGAUGAACGGCCACAUUGGGACUGAGACACGGCCCAGACUCCUACGGGAGGCAGCAGUGGGGAAUCUUCCGCAAUGGACGAAAGUCUGACGGAGCAACGCCGCGUGAGUGAUGACGGCCUUCGGGUUGUAAAGCUCUGUUAAUCGGGACGAAAGGCCUUCUUGCGAAUAGUGAGAAGGAUUGACGGUACCGGAAUAGAAAGCCACGGCUAACUACGUG
rnacentral:rRNA from 1 species